UACGUAGGGGGGCGAGCGUUGUCCGGAAUCAUUGGGCGUAAAGCGCGUGUAGGCGGCCCGGUAAGUCCGCUGUGAAAGUCCAGGGCUCAACCCUGGGAUGCCGGUGGAUACUGUCGGGCUCGAGUCCGGAAGAGGCGAGUGGAAUUCCUGGUGUAGCGGUGAAAUGCGCAGAUAUCAGGAGGAACACCAAUGGCGAAGGCAGCUCGCUGGGACGUGACUGACGCUGAGACGCGAAAGCGUGGGGAGCGAACAGG
rnacentral:rRNA from 1 species